CGAAGACAUCCCGAGUGGCCUCGUCUGGUGACGAGGCGCAGCAACCUGCCAACGACCGGCAAGGUGCUUGUGCGCAGCGGCGCAGAUGUGGCCACGCAAGGUUGCGAGGCAACGAACAGUCGCCCC
rnacentral:ncRNA from 12 species